GAAGGGUCGCGAACGCGGUGCCCGUCCGGGUCAUGGUCCCGGAUGUGCCCGAUGAGGGUCGUUCGACUCGACGGCCUUCCCC
rnacentral:tRNA from 1 species